UACGUAGGUGGCAAGCGUUAUCCGGAAUUAUUGGGCGUAAAGCGCGCGCAGGUGGUUUCUUAAGUCUGAUGUGAAAGCCCACGGCUCAACCGUGGAGGGUCAUUGGAAACUGGGAGACUUGAGUGCAGAAGAGGAAAGUGGAAUUCCACGUGUAGCGGUGAAAUGCGUAGAGAUGUGGAGGAACACCAGUGGCGAAGGCGACUCUUUGGUCUGUAACUGACGCUGAGGAGCGAAAGCAUGGGGAGCGAACAGG
rnacentral:rRNA from 1 species